rnacentral:tRNA from 1 species
GCAUUGGUGGUUCAGUGGUAGAAUUCUCGCCUCCCAUGCAGGAGAACCGUGUCCGAUUCCCGGCCAAUGCA